rnacentral:rRNA from 1 species
UACGAAGGAUGCAAGCGUUAUCCGGAUUUAUUGGGUUUAAAGGGUGCGUAGGCGGACUUAUAAGUCAGUGGUGAAAUCUCGAUGCUUAACAUCGAACGUGCCAUUGAUACUGUAGGUCUUGAGUACAGAUGCCGUUGGCGGAAUGUGUCAUGUAGCGGUGAAAUGCAUAGAUAUGACACAGAACACCGAUUGCGAAGGCAGCUCACGAAACUGUAACUGACGCUGAGGCACGAAAGCGUGGGGAUCAAACAGG